CGGUCCGUGCAAUAGAGUAGGCCCCAUUUCAAGCACCGCGGCGGCGGCAGCUGGAAGGAGGCACGCACGGAGGGACUCUUGCUAUGCGCAAUGCGAGUCCUUUCUGCGGCGGACAUAGCGAUGAAUGAAGUGGGAGUGGGACCAGGGAAGCGAGCCGGGAGCGGCAAAUGGGCGAAUACAGGUCUCCCAAACGUUGUGUAUCGUCAUCGAUUUCCUUAGCUCAAAUCGUAUAUCGGCAAUGCACUCCUGGCCACAUUUUUUCGGAAGUAAAUCCCAUUAAGAUCAGUGGGCUUACUCCAAGUCAGAAGGACAACUUCCUUGGUGGAGGACUUUUGCUUAUUCCCAGGGUCUGACUCCUCACCAUAUCAAGCACUUGAGGCAUUCAGCAUGCAGGAGAAGAUGCACAUAUAGAUGCUUUUAACAAUGAGUGGCAGCUUAUCUCUUUAGCAAGAGAAAUUUCUACAGCAAAAUCAGACAAUUCAACAAGAAAGACUUCUUUAUUGAGCAAAUUGCUUAAACGAUGCGGUUAUGCAUCCCUUCGUCUUUCCAUAUGCUCAUUUGUCAAUGAUCAUGGAGCAUCCCUUUUGUCUCUAGAUUUGCAGAUUGGUGAUUUCUUCCUUUUGAUUUUUUAGUUCUAGCCAGGUGCAUGAUUCCAUCAGUGGGAGAGGAGCUAUGAUUCUGUCAGUAGAAGAAAUUAGUGGUAGAGUGCAUUGGUAGAAGGUGCCAGAUUUGACUUCUGUUAUUUGCAGUUCAAAAGUAGCAUUGAGGUGAGGAACUUAUGGCAUCCAAGAACAACCUUUCCCAACUGGAUGUCCAUCAUAUUUUGUGAGAGUACAAAUCUCACAAGCUCCAAACUGUAUGUACAAUGGUCAGACAUGCUAGCAGUUCAAGAACAUGUCGAUGGCCACAGGUUUUCCUUUCCCAAAGGAGUUCAUGGAAAAGACUACAGAUUAGAUAAUACUGUGCUAGAUUGGUAGUCUUGUGAGAAAUAGAAAGCAUUCCAGUUAUUCAAAGGUUCAGACAAUAGGAUAACCAAGUUUAAGAACUGAGCAUGGACCAAGUGUGAGUUGUCAUAAUAGCAUAUGUUAUCUUGUUGUCUGAAUUCAUCCCACAUGUCAAUGAAUGGUGAACAACCAACAGUUCACAGCCUAACAACAAAGCAUAGGUGCACUUCAUGGGUUGGUCAUAACUAACAAUCCAUGGCUUGCUAGUGUAGCUUGACACACUAAUCCAUGUUUCAACCACAACCCAUGGUUCAGUGACCACCCUCACUUAAGUCAUGUUUAAACCUCAAGCAUGGGCUAUUUUGUUGUCUGAAUUCAAUCACUGUCUCAACUUGUUAAAUAUAUAUUAUGAAGGAAUAAUUCUAGAGAAGAAAUUCACUUUUAAUAUAUAUGUUUGUUGUAUUUAACACUUGGAAUGAUUGUGUUAGACCAGAAUAAUCUAACAAUGUCCCUUGUCAGAGCAUGAUACACCUUUUCACAUUUUCUUGUAUUGCCUGAAAUAUGAACAGGUGAGAGAAAGUUUUUAAAGGAAUGGCUGUUGAAAUGUUUAACCCUUCCUGAUGGUGCAAGAUUAAAAUGACUUCAGAGCAGUAUUUGUAAAAACUGUAUUGUAGAUGUGGCAAAUUUUUGUCAUAAUGUGUUUAAAAUUCUUAAAUUAUCGUGUGUAAACUAUGGACUAAUAAACCAAAUAAAUUUAAUUUGAAUUAUCAGCA